AUCCUACACUUAAGGGAAGGGGACUACACAAGAGUAUGUAUAACAGGAAGUGAGGAUCAUUUGGGAGUCAUUUCAAAAGUCUGUCUGCCACACAAGGAAAUGUCUAUGGGGAAUGUGCAUGUGGCUCUGUCUAUAGGAAUGUCUAUGGAUUUUGUGACACCUGGGUAUUAAAUGACCAUGGAAUCUUUGGUGACCUGGUUGUGGUUAUGCCUCCAACUGUAGUUACAGUGGCAUCCAUAUUUCUUGACAAGCUUCCCUUUCUCUUGUCCUCACCUUAGCAGUUAAGGAGCAGAGUCCACAACCAUAGUCUUCCACCCUGAGAUACUUUGAAAUCAGACUGCCUGAAA
rnacentral:lncRNA from 10 species